AUUAAAAGUGAGGUUCGAUCUCUGCCUGCGAUCAGUUUGAUGAAGAAGGAUGAAAAGGUGAGGGCAUUCAAUACCAACUGGUAUCAAAAGUAUAACGUUAGCUGGUUAACAAGGAGCCUUUCAUCAAUCUAGCCUGCUUUUUGGAAAAUCUGAGCCUUGGGUGAAAGAGGGGUAGCUACAGUGACCUGGAGAGCAUUGAUCGUUCAGCAGGAAGCAUAUAAAUUCCCACACCAGAUUCUAGCUUCGGGGGAAAAGCUGCAUCGAAUAUGACGAAGGUCUGCGUAUUCAAACUGCGCGACACAACGAGAAAGUUAGAAGAAACGGAAAUGUUCUCAAGCGGCUUAUCAACACCCCUACGUUUUUGGGCAUGCAAGAAUUUGCUUUUAGAGGACACUAUGAGAGGGAAAGUUCCCGCCGACAAGGGAAACUACAAUGAGCUUGCAGAGCUAAGUUCCCUCCUGUUCCCUGAUUAAGAGGUGAUGACCACUCUACUACCAUUGUCAACUCUGUCCUGACAUGAACUGAAGCCAUGUCUCAUGUGCCCGCUCAUCCACUGCUACAUUGAAUGUUUCCUCUCCAAGCACUUUGAGUACCCCUGUCAAUUUUCUCUCAUUACUCUAUGUAGAGUCAAUCACAAACACAAUCACAUUAUUACACAUGAAUGAUUUUACUCCUUGCUUGGAUUAACUCAUUCUAAGCUCUUUGGUCAAACUGUGUAGUGUGUUAUUGUUUUUUGUCUUUCCAGAGAAAUCCUAUCCUGCAAUGAAGUCAAGCCUCUGAACACCUCAACGCAUGCCUCAUACCCUCAUUCAAUCACUGCUGUGAUCUUACUGUGAUAAACACUGAAGGCCUGACAGAAGACGAAUCACCAGGAUACUCACAGGUUCCUGUGUAACUAAUCGCACAGGGGCGGGGGGAUUGAGAUGGAGAUGCACUACUUCCUCCUUGUGUUUUUGAAGCAGGACCAGGAAACCUUCAGCACUUGGACACCAGAAUGAUAAAAUGCUGAGGCUGAGAGGCAAGCUAUUAAUAGACUCCAGCACCUGAAACUGUCACACUGAUCCUUGUCCCACAGCCCUGUGUCAACAUCAGUAACACAAAAGUACUGUACUGUAUGUGAGACCUGUGAAGUGCUGGUGAAGGUUUUCAUGUAUCGGUUACUGUAUCAUGCAAGUCUUGCUAAUUCUAUUGAUGAUGAUGUAUUAUAUUACAAUAUGUGUCACGUAGGCCUACACAUUGGGGAUCAUGAAUAAAAUGCUAAUUGUAAACAUUUUGAGAACAACUUUUAGCAUGUAGAUCAGCCAGCAGUAAUGUUACUGUAUCUUGAGUGUUCAAAACAUUAAGAACACCUACUCUUUCCAUGACAGAUUAAUCGGGUAAAUCCAGGUGAAAGCUA